UUCUAGCUGAAAUUAGGACUGCUGUUUUCUGGCAGGUCAUGGGAAGAAGAUUGGCUGGCUUGAGGGAGCUUAUGUACACAUGGCUUUUAGGCUGCAGCCAGAGUGUUCCUCUAGAUCUGGAAGUUUGAAGAUGGUUGCAGUCUCC